GAGUUCUGCUAAACAGGAGAAAUAAUCUCUACCUCUCUGAAGCUGUUUGAGAGCCAAAUGAGAAGCCAUGUCAAUCCUCUUGGUGAACUCUAAGGUACCAAAAUAAGUAAAUAGGUAAAGUAUUAGAUGCAAGGACCGUUCAUGCAAACGUCCAGAAGAACAGAAAAAGGGUUGUGGCCGGAAGAAAGUGAGACUGAGUUCUUCUAAGCCUUCAGGAGUUAGAAAGGAUGCAGCUCUGGAGAGAGAUGUCGUGAUGCCGAUGCUUCAUGGGAGGUCAUUUCCCUAUUACACAAGCUUCUUGUACAAGGAAGUGGGAAGAUGAGACCUUGGAUCUCCAUCACCUGCCAUGUGAGGAUGUCCGUACAACUCACAGCCCCUCCUGGAGUGAAGGCAGUGUGGGAAACACACGGUUUGGGGUUAGUAUCUGCACUGCUCUUCCCUAAGAGCAACCAUAUUGAACUUGAGAAUGAUGGCUUCCUGAACUCACACUUUCUCUCUACUUCUCCCAUGAAAGACAAGCUGGGGUCUUCCCAGGAGGACAGUAUAUCAUGACAUUUAAACCUUGGAACCUGGCAUCAAUAAGACCUGGCUGUGUGACAUCGGUUGAGUUAUCUCAUGUCUCUGAGCUUUGGUUUUCUCAUAAAGUAGGAAUAAUAAUAUGUCUGACGGAGCUGUUUUAAGAGAAAAAUGAGACAAUGCAUGCCAAGCACUGAAUACACGUCCCACCUCAUA